GGAUAUAUGACCGAAGCGGUUAUGGUAGAAGUUUCCUAAACUUCGGAACUCGCGUUCCUGUUGGUUCGAAUCCAACUAUAUCCC